rnacentral:lncRNA from 1 species
UUUCAAGCCACAUUGUCCAAAAACAUACAUUAUACCCAUAAACAUACACAUAACCUAAACAUGCAUUCUAACCCAUAGAUCUUGCAUAAAACUUAUUUAAAACAUAAUAAGAGUUCAAGAUCGACCCUUACCUCUUGAAGAUCGAGAGGAAAACGACCUUGACUCAAAGAUGGGAGGAUUGAGCUCCUUGAACCUCAAAGUACUCAAACGAGCUUAAAACUUGUAAAUCUUCAAAACAAAGUUAUAAACUUGUUAAAAACGUGAAAGAUUGAAGGAAAAUGCUCAAGAUUGGUGAGGGGCGGCGGAGGUUCACCUUGACCGACAACGGGGAAGAAAAAGCUCGCCCGUGCGGACCAAAGAGACCCUUUUAUAGUGGCUGGCCAGGCCACGUUCGGGGGC